rnacentral:rRNA from 1 species
GAGUUUGAUCAUGGCUCAGGAUGAACGCUAGCGGCAGGCUUAACACAUGCAAGUCGAGGGGUAGAAGGAGCUUGCUCCUUUGAGACCGGCGCACGGGUGCGUAACGCGUAUGCAAUCUACCUUGUACAGGGGGAUAGCCCAGAGAAAUUUGGAUUAAUACCCCAUAGUGUAAUGAAACGGCAUCGUUUUAUUACUAAAGUUCCAACGGUACAAGAUGAGCAUGCGUCCCAUUAGCUAGUUGGUGUGGUAACGGCAUACCAAGGCAACGAUGGGGUAGGGGUCCUGAGAGGGAGAUCCCCCACACUGGUACUGAGACACGGACCAGACUCCUACGGGAGGCAGCAGUGAGGAAUAUUGGGUCAAUGGGCGCAAGCCUGAACCAGUCAUGCCGCGUGCAGGAUGACGGUCCUAUGGAUUGUAAACUGCUUUUGUACAGGAAGAAACACUCCCUCGUGAGGGAG